CCAAUAAAAGUUAUAGCAUCAUCCACUACCACAAGCUUCUCAUGAUGAGCCCAAAAGAGUGCGUUUUGGCGAAAGUGAGAAGGAGAGCGGAUAACAUAAAUAUUCGGAUGUAGAGAUUGAAGAUGUUCCUUAGUAUGGAAUGAGUCUAUGGGUAUGGUAGCGUCAAUAUUGCGAUAGAUCAUUAUGUACACCAUGACUCCUUCAUGUGCCUUUUCAUUAAGGAUACGAUCAAUUCUCCACUUGUGAGCCAUACUAUAAGGUCGUCGCAUUUGCAAUUCAGGACUUAACCACCAUCCAUGAAUCAUAAUACAGCGCUUUGCAUUCUUUAUAGCCCUGCUAACAUUCCACAUAUGAUCCCUUGCAUCUACCAUCCAUUGAACAGCAACGUUAGUUCUAACAGGUGCAAAGCUGUCGAACCUAUGUAUUUCACACCAAGCAGUUAAUCCUUGAGCAACUUGAACGCUGUUGAUAAAUUGUUGCAACCAACGACCACUUCGCACUGA